UACGUAGGGUGCAAGCGUUGUCCGGAAUUAUUGGGCGUAAAGCGCGUGUAGGCGGCUUGGCAAGUCGGGUGUGAAAUCCCUCAGCUCAACUGAGGAAGUGCGCCCGAAACUGCUUUGCUUGAGUGCCGGAGAGGAUGGCGGAAUUCCCCAAGUAGAGGUGAAAUUCGUAGAUAUGGGGAGGAACACCGGUGGCGAAGGCGGCCAUCUGGACGGUUACUGACGCUGAGACGCGAAAGCGUGGGGAGCAAACAGG
rnacentral:rRNA from 1 species